GCCAUCUGGUGGGGGACCUAGCCGCCAACAGACACUUCCUGUACGGGGGAGGGGGCCAGGCGGCCGUUAGACAGCAUAACCGAACCCAACACCGGGGCCCAACGGCAGGGGCUUGGGCAGGAGCAAGGUCCGAGGGCUGCCAGGUCCACGCUGCUUUUAUGAGCUGUAACACUCACCGCGAAGAUCUGCAACUUCACUCCUGAGCCCAGCGAGACCACGAGCCCACCGGGAGGAGCGGACAACUCCAGACGCACCACCUUAAGAGCUGUAACACUCACCGCGAAGGUCUGCAGCUUCACUCGUGAGCCCAGCAAGACCACGAGGACACCGGGAGGAACGAACAACUCCAGACGCGCUGCCUUAAGAGCCGUAACACUCACCGCAAGGGUCUGCAGCUUCACUCCUGAGCCAGCGAGACCACAAACCCACCAGAAGGAAGAAACUCCCAACACAUCUGAACAUCAGAACGAACAGACUCCAGACACGCCACCUUAAGAGCUGUAACACUCACCGCGAGGUUCCGCAGCUUCAUUCUUGAAGUCAGUAAGACCAAGAACCCACCAAUUCCAGACACAUUUUGGCGACCACGGAGGGACUUUCGCCUAUCGCCAAGCAGUGAGACAAUUGCCAAGCGGUGAGACCAUCACCUAUCGCCGAGCGGUGAGACUUUCGCCUAUCGCCAAGCAGUCCACGCUGCUUUUAUGAGCUGUAACACUCACCACGAAGAUCUGCAACUUCACUCCUGAGCCCAGCGAGACCACGAGCCCACCGGGAGGAACAAACAACUCCAGACGCGCUGCCUUAAGAGCUGUAACACUCACCGUGAAGGUCUGCAGCUUCACUCCUGAGCCAGCGAGACCACGAACCCACCAGAAGGAAGAAACUCCGAACACAUCUGAACAUCAGAACGAACAGACUCCAGACGCACCACCUUAAGAGCUGUAACACUCACCGCGAGGUUCCGCGGCUUCAUUCUUGAAGUCAGUAAGACCAAGAACCCACCAAUUCUGGACACAGUAGCAUUUGGGAAUAAUAAGAAUUGUAGCUGGGCAUGGUGGUACACGCCUGUAGACCCCCAGCAGCUGCCAUCAUCCUCACCAUCCGCAUAUUAUUGAUAUAUUAACUCUUUGAUGGCAACCAUGGCUUAUCCCCCCUGUCUCCCUAUGCCCUACAGCAGGGCAAUGGAAUGGUUAAGAGGCUUUGAAGUCUAACAGUGCUAGCUUAAAACCCUAAUUUGUCAUUUUGGAUGUGUGGCUUUGGACACUUGGGGCAGGUCACCUAUGUUCUUCGAGCCCUGUAUCCUUAUCUGUCAGAUGAUGAUUUUUUUUUUUUUUAGACGAAGUCUCACUCUCUUGCCCAGGCUGGAGUGCAGUGGCAUGAUCUCGGCUUACUGCAAGCUCCACCUCCCGGGUUGACGCCAUUCUCUUGCCUCAGCUUCCCGAGUAGCUGGGACUACAGGCUCCUGCCACCACCCGUGGCUAAUUUUUUUGUAUUUUUAGUAGAGACAGGGUUUCACCAUGUUAGCCAGGAUGGUCUCGAUCUCCUGACCUCGUGAUCUGCCCGCCUCAGCCUCCCAAAGUAUCAGAUGAUUUUAACAACUAUGCUUCCAUGACUUGCUGGGCUAGAUGAUAUGACUGUAAAAUGCCUAACCCAUGGUUUAGCAUCAAGUAAGCAAAUUGUAAAUGGUAGCACUGCUCUGCCUAUGACUAUUUAGUCUUGUGCUUUAAACUCAAAUAUUUGUUGGCCUACUGAAGUUACCACACAGAGAAAGAUGCUUUUCAUUCUCAGUAAAGAACUUUGGGAGAUAACUGGGGCAGGCAGCAAGAGAACAGAUGUCAUAUGUCUAGCAUCAGCAAACUCAUCAGAACUGAUGGGCAGCUCACUUUGCUUAGAACCUGCACCAGCAUACACACAGGGCUGCCUCCCAGUCACACUGCUCCUGGGAAGGUAGGGGGGCUGCUGUUCUGCAAUUAGCGCGGUUCUUUACCUCCUAUUACCGAACUGCCAGAGUUCAUUUGUGUUCAGUUAGGUAGAUGACCAAUUCUUGUUCAUUCCUAUUUUCUUUUGCUCACUAAUGUGUUUAACGUUCACUAACC